rnacentral:rRNA from 1 species
GACGAACGCUGGCGGCAUGCCUAAUACAUGCAAGUCGAACGGAUCUUGAUAAGGAGCUUGCUCCUUAACUUGAUUAGUGGCGGACGGGUGAGUAACACGUAGGCAACCUGCCCUUAAGAUCGGGAUAACAUUCGGAAACGGAUGCUAAGACCGGAUAAACAAUUCGCUCGCAUGAGUGAAUUGGGAAACACGGAGCAAUCUGUGGCUUAGGGAUGGGCCUGCGGCGCAUUAGCUAGUUGGUGGGGUAAUGGCUCACCAAGGCGACGAUGCGUAGCCGACCUGAGAGGGUGAACGGCCACACUGGGACUGAGACACGGCCCAGACUCCUACGGGAGGCAGCAGUAGGGAAUCUUCACAAUGGGCGAAAGCCUGAUGGAGCAAUGCCGCGUGAGUGAGGAAGGCUUUCGGGUCGUAAAGCUCUGUUGCCAGGGAAGAA